CGUGUAGGCUGGUGGUCGAGUCAGAUGUAAAAGUGUACGGCUCAACCGUAGUUGGUCAUCUGAUACAGGUCAUCUUGAGUUCGAGAGAGGGUAGUGGAAUUCCUGGUGUAGCGGUGAAAUGCGUAGAUAUCAGGAAGAACACCAGAUGCGAAGGCGGCUACCUGGCUCGUAACUGACGCUGAGGCGCGAAAGCGUGGGUAGCGAACA
rnacentral:rRNA from 1 species